AAAAAGCUGUCUAGUUAAUAUUCUACUUUUAUUUAAUAAACAAAACAUUCACUCAUUCAUUUAUUUAAUUAAAAGAACACAUACUUUUCAGGUUUCUGUGGAGUACUGGUAACUAGUCAUCUUUAGUUUAACUGGGUAGGAUAUAAACCUUGUCUUGUAGGAAUGAAUACUUCCUGAAACUAUGAAGCUGACCCUAGGACCAAGAGAACUAACAAGAAGUCUUGUCCACUUUGGUUAUAACCUUAGGCUGAAUGAUUUUAAAGUAGCUUUAAAAUGAUUCCUGAGAAAUGUUCUGCAAAAGAAGACAUCCCAAGCUCUGCCAGAGAAAAGCAGGAUUGAGGAGUAUCAAAGAAAAGGGGGGAUUGAAAAUGAGCAGGACCCUCCGGGACCCUCCAAGAAACCAAGAUCUGGCCCAGGUGGAGCAGUGACUAUAUGCUGACCACAAGCAUGUAGACCCCAGACUGGUUGAAACCAGAAGGUAGAUGAUUGAAACUCUUGAAACACCACCCCGCUACCUUACCACCAACCAAUUAGAGGAAAGUCAUGUUCCCUACAGCCGUCACUCCAACUGUUGCCUUUAAAAACCCUUCCCUGAAAGCCAUCAGGGAGUUCAAGUCUUUUGAGCAUGAGCUUCUUGUACUCCUUGCUGGGCCCUGCAAUAAACACUGUA